rnacentral:rRNA from 1 species
UCAAGCUACAAAGAGCGUAUGGUGGAUGCCUUGGCAUUAGGCGCCGAUGAAGGACGUGACAAGCUGCGAUAAGCUGCGGUGAGUGGCAAAUACACUUUGACCCGCAGAUUUCCGAAUGAGGAAACUCACUAUGUUGAAGACAUAGUAUCUUUACACGAAUAAAAUAGUGUAUCGAGGGGAACCCGGAGAACUGAAACAUCUCAUUAUCCGGAGGAAAAGAAAGAAAAUAUUCGAUUUCCUGAGUAGUGGCGAGCGAAAGGGAAGGAGCCCAAACCGUUUGUAGAAAUAUAAACGGGGUUGAGAACUGCGUAACCGACCGAUUUUGAUAGUCGAAGCACUUGGAAAGGUGUGCCAUAGAGAGUGACAGCCUCGUAGGCGAAAUCAAAAUGGUCGCGGCAGAGUUCCAGAGUACCACAGGACACGAGGAAUCCGGUGGGAAGCAGGAGGGACCACCCUCCAAGGCUAAAUACGAUCCAGUGACCGAUAGCGCAUAGUACCGUGAGGGAAAGGUGAAAAGAACCCCGGGAGGGGAGUGAAAAAGAACCUGAAACCCUGUGUUUACAAGCAGUGAAAGUGCGAGCAAGGCACGAUCACGUACUUUUUGUAGAACGGACCGGCGAGUUACGUUAUGCAGCAAGGUUAAGAACUGAAGGUUCGGAGCCGAAGCGAAAGCGAGUCUGAACAGGGCGAUAGUUGCAUGACGUAGACCCGAAACCGGGUGACCUAUCCAUGAGCAGGUUGAAGUGGAGGUAAAGCUCCAUGGAGGACCGAACCAGACGUCUGUUGAAAAAGGCGGGGAUGACUUGUGGAUAGGGGAGAAAUUCCAAUCGAACCCGGAGAUAGCUGGUUCUCCUCGAAAUAGCUUUAGGGCUAGCCUCAUGGAUCAUUGAUGGGGGUAGAGCACUGAAUGUGCGCGGGGGCCACAAAGCCUACCAAACGCUAUCAAACUUCGAAUACCAUACAAUGCAGACCAUGGGAGUCAGUCCGCGAGAGAUAAGUUCCGCGGGCAAAAGGGGAACACCCCAGAUCAACCGCUAAGGUCCCCAAGUUCACGUUAAGUGGAGAAGGAUGUGGAAUUGCACAGACAACCAGGAUGUUGGCUCAGAAGCAGCCACACAUUUAAAGAGUGCGUAAUAGCUCACUGGUCGAGUGAUUGUGCGCCGAAGAUGUCCGGGGCUAAACGUGACACCGAAGCGAUGGGUGCAUCUGAAGAAGAUGCGCGGUAGAGGAGCAAUGUGCAGAGGCAGAAGCCGUAUCGAGAGGCACGGUGGACACUGCACAAGAGAGAAUGCCGGUAUGAGUAGCGAGAGGCAUGCGAGAAACAUGCCCGUCGAAAGCCCAAGGUUUCCUGGGGAAGGUUCAUCCGCCCAGGGUAAGUCGGGGCCUAAGCCGAGGACGGAAGUCGUAGGCGAUGGACAGCAGGUGUAGAUUCCUGCACUACCGAUGGAAUGAAGCAGUGACACAGAAGGAUAACUCGAGCAGGGUGAUGGUCAACCCUGUGCAAGCAUCAAGGUUGGGUUGUAGUGAAGUACGCAACCCUAUAAGCUGAGAUGUGAUGCGGACCGAAAUUUCAGUAGGGAAGCGAGUGAGUUCACGCUGGCGAGAAAAGCUGCUAGUACAUCCAAAGGUACCCGUACCGGAAACCGACGCAGGUGGGCGAGGAGAGAAUCCUGAGACGAACGGGAGAACCCUUGUUAAGGAACUCGGCAAAAUGACCCCGUAACUUCGGGAUAAGGGGUGCCUGCGAGAGCAGGCCGCAGAGAAUAGUCACAAGCGACUGUUUAGCAAAAACACAGGUAUCUGCGAAAGCGAGAGCUGACGUAUAGGUGCUGACACCUGCCCGGUGCUGGAAGGUUAAGGGAACAUGUUAGAGCAAUCGAAGCAUCGAACCGAAGCCCCAGUAAACGGCGGCCGUAACUAUAACGGUCCUAAGGUAGCGAAAUUCCUUGUCGGGUAAGUUCCGACCCGCACGAAUGGUGUAACGACUUGUGAGCUGUCUCAACAGGGGGCCCGGUGAAAUUGAAGUAUGGGUGAAGAUGCCCAUUACCCGCGACUGGACGGAAAGACCCCGUAGAGCUUUACUGUAACUUGAUAUUGAAUCUCGGCAAUUGAUGCACAGAAUAGGUGGGAGACGAAGAAGCAUGUGUUUCGGCAUGUGUGGAGUCAACUUUGGGAUACCACUCUUCGAUUGCUGCGAUUCUAACCGGGACCGUUGAAGCACGGCUCGGGACAUUGUCAGGUGGGCAGUUUGACUGGGGCGGUCGCCUCCUAAAGUGUAACGGAGGCGCCCAAAGGUUCCCUCAGAAUGGUUGGAAAUCAUUCGGCGAGUGUAAAGGCAAAAGGGAGCUUAACUGUGAGACAGACAUGUCGAACAGAUGCGAAAGCAGGGCUUAGUGAUCAGGUGGUAUGAGAAUGGAAUUGCCAUCGCUUAACGGAUAAAAGUUACCUCGGGGAUAACAGGCUUAUCUCCCCCAAGAGUUCACAUCGACGGGGAGGUUUGGCACCUCGAUGUCGGCUCAUCGCAUCCUGGAGCUGUAGCAGGUUCCAAG